GCGAGUGCCCAAUAGCGUAUGAUCUCAGAAGCCAAGCAGGGCCAUGCCUGGUUAGUACUUGGUUGGGAGAGCAACUUGGAAGACCAGGGGCCACUAGCC
rnacentral:rRNA from 12 species